UACGGAGGGGGCAAGCGUUAUUCGGAAUUAUUGGGCGUAAAGGGCGCGUAGGCGGCUUUGCAAGUGACGGGUGAAAUCCCUCGGCUUAACCGAGGAACUGCCUGUCAAACUGCAUGGCUUGAGUGCGGGAGAGGUGAGUGGAAUUCCCAGUGUAGCGGUGAAAUGCGUAGAUAUUGGGAGGAACACCAGUGGCGAAGGCGGCUCACUGGACCGGUACUGACGCUGAUGCGCGAAAGCCAGGGGAGCGAACGGG
rnacentral:rRNA from 1 species